GACGAACGCUGGCGGCGUGCUUAACACAUGCAAGUCGAACGGAAAGGCCCGGCUUUUGUGGGGUGCUCGAGUGGCGAACGGGGGAGUAAAACGUGAGUAACCUGCCCUUGUCUUUGGGAUAACUUCAGGAAACUGGGGCGAAUACCGGAUAGGAGCUCCUGCAGCACGGUGGGGGUUGGAAAGAUUCGGCGGUUGGGGAUGGAAUCGCGGCUUAUCAGCUUGUUGGUGGGGUAGUGGCUUACCACGGCUUUGACGGGUAGCCGGCCUGAGAGGGUGACCGGCCACAUUGGGACUGCGAUACGGCCCAGACUCCUACGGGAGGCAGCAGUCGGGAAUAUUGCACAAUGGGCGGACGCCUGAUGCAGAAACGCCGCGUGCGGGAUGACCGCCUUCGGGUUGUAAACCGCUUUCGACUGUGACGAAGCGUGAGUGACGGUAAUGGGUAAAGAAGCACCGGCUAACUACGUG
rnacentral:rRNA from 1 species